GUGCUAUGAUGUAAUAUCAACACAUCAUUCUGAAGAGAAUGGAACAUGUGGAGACUUUUUUUUAUUACUGAGCACA
rfam:Alligator mississippiensis ScZkoYb_140, whole genome shotgun sequence.